GACGAACACGAACUGACAAAAGCCCCCGUAGUGAAAGCAGAAGUAAAGGAAAUAAAAGGUCUGUAUGUUUUCGUGGUAUUUCACACCGUAAGUUGUUGACGAUCCCUGCGGGCUACAUCACGAUCCUGUCAACAGCUGAAGAAAGAGAAAGAGAGAGGAGGGACAGAGAGGGACAGAGAGGCAGGGGGACGUGGAGGAGAAAACCAUACCAAAAGCAGCAGGGAAAUCACUGUCUGCGUGACUGUGGCUGCGUUUUCAGACUGAAAGUGAUCAGUGAGCUGAGAAUCGCAGCAGAAGGGGGUUCUGAUCACAGCGCUGGAGGAAGUGAAGCGGGCCGGAGGGAUGAGAACAGAUCGAACCGCUACACCACCCGACCUGUAAGACUGAAGAUAGAGGACUGCUGAUCAGCUGACCGUGUUUGGUAGGGUUAGGACUAAAGUGAGGCUAGACUGGUUUAGAUCAGAGGAGAGAGAGAGAGAGAGAGAGAGAGAGAGAGAGAGAGAGAGAGCGAGAGCACAGAGACAUAGUUUACAUCGAGAGAGUAGAACGGGAGCUCGAGAGGAAUCACCUCAAUCCAACAGAAGUAACUGAGGCUCCAGCCGCUCUGCUCCCUGCGCGGGUUAAACAAAGGAAGUGCAUCCCCUCUGGAUCUGAAUAAACGUGUGGUUCUCUCUGUGCCUUUUACAGCCAGCUCCACGAAAACACAGAAGUCAGAGACUCGUCCUUAACUCCUGCCGCCACUGGUGUCCUGGUGAGUUUGGGCGCUGCUCUGUCCACCGUCCCAAUGAAGGAGGCCGACGCAAUAAAGCUCUUCAUCGGGCAGAUCCCACGGAAUCUAGAGGAGAAGGACCUCAAGCCCAUCUUCGAGCAGUUCGGGAAAAUCUAUGAGCUGACAGUGAUCAAGGACAAAUACACUGGCAUGCAUAAAGGAUGUGCCUUUCUGACAUACUGUGCACGGGAGUCAGCCCUCAAAGCCCAGACAGCUCUGCAUGAGCAAAAGACACUGCCAGGGAUGAAUCGGCCCAUUCAGGUGAAGCCUGCAGACAGUGAGGGAAGAGGAGAGGACAGGAAGUUGUUUGUAGGGAUGUUGGGGAAACAGCAGGAGGAUGAUGAUGUGAGGAAGAUGUUUGAGCCUUUUGGCAGAAUUGAUGAGUGUACAGUACUGAGAGCACCUGAUGGAACUAGCAAAGGUUGUGCGUUUGUGAAGUUCCAAAGCCAUGCUGAAGCUCAAGCAGCCAUUAACAGCCUUCAUGGAAGCAGGACGCUACCUGGUGCAUCCUCCAGUCUGGUGGUGAAGUUUGCCGACACAGAGAAGGAGCGAGGGCUGCGCCGCAUGCAGCAAGUAGCCUCACAGCUGGCCGUCUUCAGCCCCAUGACCCUCAACCUGGGGGCAUACAAUGCUUACACACAGGCUUUAGUACAACAGCAGACCCUGGUCGCACAGUCUGCCUACUUGUCACCCAUAGCAACAGUUGCCGCGGUGCAGAUGCAGCAGAUGGCAGCUCUCAAUGGCAAUGGCAUCAUAGCCACACCUAUCACUCCCAUCACACCAAUCACACCUUCCUCAGGCACAAACACCCCACCUGCUAUUGCAGCGACACCUGUGCCUGCCCUGCCUCCACCAGUCGGAAUCAGCGGUUACAGUCCUGUACCUGCAGCAGCCAAUGGUCAGCCAGCAUCUGAGACAAUCUACACCAACGGCAUUCACCCGUAUCAAGCCCAGAGUUCGGCUGGUGUGUUGGAUCCCCUCCAGCAGGCUUAUGCUGGGAUGCAGCACUAUACAGCGGCCUACCCCGCUGCCUAUGGACUGGUCAGCACCCCGUUUCCACAGCAACAUACACUGGUUCCUCAGCAACAGCAGCAGCAACAGCAGCGAGAAGGUGAUGUCAUUUCCUGUCCUGAGGGCUGUAAUAUCUUCAUUUAUCACUUACCCCAGGAGUUCACAGACUCAGAACUGCUGCAGAUGUUUCUGCCGUUUGGAAAUGUCAUCUCUGCUAAAGUGUUUGUGGACAGGGCCACCAAUCAGAGCAAAUGUUUUGGUUUCGUAAGCUUUGAUAACCCCACGAGUGCUCAGACUGCCAUCCAGGCCAUGAACGGCUUCCAGAUCGGAAUGAAGCGCCUCAAAGUUCAGCUGAAGAGACCAAAAGAUGCUAACAGGCCAUACUGAGACAGGUGAGAGGGGAAGAGGAGGGAAAGGGCAGAGAGGAUGAGUGUAGAGAGAGGACAGGAGGGCAGAAUAGAAGGCCAGCACAGAGAUGAGAGAAGAACUGAGGAUUUUUCAGGAGUCAUCUGGAGGCCAGACUGUGCCAGUACCGUCUCUUUCCAACAGCUUUUACCUACCUGGGCAUUGAUGACUUUGAGUGGUGAUGAUAAGCCACUCACAGCACAGCUUGAUUUGGCAAGUUAGCUCAAAUAGUGGAAAACACUUUUCACAUUCUUCAGAUUGUCUUACUUUAAUCUGAGGUAAAAUACAUUGUGUCCUUCAAUGCCCAGGACUUGCCAGUGAGUCCAGGCUUAUAUUUUUCACUCACCCUUACUUAAGUCUUAGGAUGUAAUCAACGACAGAAUCAGACUCAGAACAGUCGAGGCUUUUAAAAUGAUUUAGCUGAACAAAGACAAGUUCAGUUUAACCUUUAGUAUUUAUGCAUGAUGUUUUGUGGCCUCCGCUUUGAUAAAUCUGCAGAAAUGUCACCUUUCUUUAUUUUUUCUGUGUUUUUUUCCCUGAAAUCUACAAAUCACACCCCAAGGUCCACACGUCACGCCGUUUAUCACGGGAGGUGCCGUCGCAAUGGCUAUGCCUUCAGUUGCAUAGCAACAGAUUAUGUCCUUCCCUUACGUCUCCCACUUGUAGUAAGUUAAUUGGCCUGUGUUUGGGUUGCCGUGGCGACUGCCUGUGUUUGGGCUGCCGUGGCGACCAGUCAUGCGCUGGGCUGCAUGCCGUGUUGCCGUGGCUACAAUGGACUGAGUCUAGUGCAUUGUGAUUUUAUUGAUCUCUUGACAAUCUGAUCGGCUGCUGUGCGACAAGAUUUGAGGACUCACGUAUGAUGACCAGUUUCUUAUCCCUUCUCUCUCUCUAUCUCUAUCACACUGUCUCCCACUCUCUCUGUCUCUCUCUCUCUCUCUCUCUCUCUCUCUGUCUCUCUCUCUUUCUCUCUCUUUCUCUCUCUUUCUUUUUCUCCUGACCAGUGUUGUAUUUUACAGUUUGUUUUUAACCUGUUUUGUGGUCCUCUGAUGAUAUGGUGUGAUGACACUCACUGAUGUGCUCUUUAUGUAGGACGUGUUGUGUGUGUGUGUGUGUGUGUGUGUGUGUGUGUGUGUGUGUGUGUGCGCGUGUGUGUGUGUGUGUGAUGUAGAUGAGACAUCCUUUUCUGAUUUUUUUCCAUAUUUAUCUACAGCAUGACAAAUACACAAACAGCUUUUCCUUCAGAUUCUGAUAGUGUCUGCCCAUACUUUCUCUCUAUUUGUAUCUCCCUCUCUCUUUUUCUCUGUUGCUUGCUCUGUCUCACUCUCUUCCUCCCUCCACUCUUCCCGUCUCAGUUCCUCUCUCUCUCUAUCAUUUUGAGGGUGCAAAUGGCUGAGAUGGUAAAAGAGGUUCAGAGCGGAGUUCAGAGCUGACUGGAUUGCUCAUCACACUACACUACACACACACACACACACACACACACACACACACACACACACACACACACACACACAUACACAUAAUCACACAAACAUGCACACACAUAAAAAUGUGUAAAUGGAACAUGUUCAUGUUUUAACAUUAUGUACAUAAGUUACUCAUAUGCACACACACAUGCACAUCCCCAUGCAUCCUGAAGGAUGAUAAAUGAGAGAGAAAGCAACAUGUAUAAAAUAAGAGUCACUCACUCACUACCAUUCAUGGAUUUCCAUGUCCAAAAGAGACAAUAAGUACUGAAGCGAAUAAAAAAGAAAAUAAAUAGCUUAGCUCUGCUGCAGUAAAAGGACCUUUAUCAGGUGUAAAUAAACUAGUUUGAAGAACUGAAAUGGUGAAAAACAAGAAUAAAAAAAUGAGUAUAGUUUACAUGAAAAUAAUAACAAUACUCACUAAUGUUGUUAUUAUUAUUAUUAUUGUUAUUAUUUUUAUUAUUAUUAUUAUUAUUAUGGUAAAUAUCUUUUGAAAAACUUUUCAAUUAAAAUUUCUACUUUUUCUUGAAGUAUGGGAGACGGGUUCAGGAGUUUUUUUGGGGUAGGUUUUAAUACUUGAGCUAUUUUUUAUUUAUUGAUUAAUUUAUCAAAUUUUAAAAUAUAUAUUUACUGUAAAUGCAGGUUUUAGGUUGGUUGGGAUGCAAUUUCUUAAUUUUACAUUGUUCAUUUUUUUAAGAAAUCCAUUUAAGCAGAUGUACGACUUUGUAAUUGAACAAUUAUUGAACUAUGAAUUACGGUGAUAUUUAUUUCUUAUUUAUUGACUAAUUUUUGAUUCCGUCUUUCUUUCUAACUCAAAUAAAAUACAACUAUGAUGCAAGACAUGUAGAAUGUCGAUUUGUGCACAUAUCUGUGCGUGUGUGUAUGUGUGUGUGCGUGUAAACAUGUACAUUUUCCCUGCUAAAAAAAUACGUAAAUAAACACAUUAAAAACCUAUAGAAACCA